UACGUAGGGGGCUAGCGUUGUCCGGAAUCAUUGGCGUAAAGCGCGUGUAGGCGGUCCGGUAAGUCCGCUGUGAAAGUCGAGGGCUCAACCCUCGAAUGCCGGUGGAUACUGUCGGGCUUGAGUACGGGAGAGGCGAGUGGAAUUCCUGGUGUAGCGGUGAAAUGCGCAGAUAUCAGGAGGAACACCGAUUGCGAAGGCAGCUCGCUGGGACGUUACUGACGCUGAGACGACGAAGCGUGGGGAGCAAACAGG
rnacentral:rRNA from 1 species